UUAUGUUUUUGUUUUUCUUCCAGGGCUCAGGAAAAGUCAAGAUGGCAGAGAGGAAUAUUUGAAUCUCUGCGUAGGCCUGGCCUAACGCAGACUGGCCCUGGGGGAUGACAUGCGGAGGAGCAUUUAAGGACAAGGAAGGAAAGGACAAUCAGAGUCCAGAUACCUAAUGUGGAACGGGGACUUGUCAAAGAUGCAGGGGCAGAGGCCAGGAACAGCUAGCUCUCAGAUCACCUUUCGCUAGAUUGCACCGAGACCCGCGUAGGAGGAAAGGGCUGGAGCGGACGCGCGGACCGACUCUGAACAGACAGACUAACCGCGGCCG
rnacentral:lncRNA from 1 species